GACACCUGAAGACUUCGUGAAAAGGCCAGUGUACAAAAGUUCGACCUGAGUUUUCAGCGCUGAACAGUUUAAAAAUGCUAUAGUAUUAGCUAUGCAACCGACGUGCUUCCAAAAUACCAAAGUUCUGCGAAUCUUUGCUUGUCCUGUUUCUUCUCUUGUUGCAGGGCACGACUCGAGGGGAUGACACAAUCCGUGAAAUCCUUGGCCGUCUCAAAGACCUUUCUGGCUACUCUGAACUCUUCACUUUUGACAUGAGCACCAUUUACGUGCCAAAUGUGCUGAUGGAUAACAGCGAUUUUUGCAACUGUAAGGAAUUAUUCGCCCAAGAAAUUCUGAAAACUCUUGUUCUGAUAAAGACCACUGACCAAGGCAUGGGUCAGGAGCCACGUGCGAUCGUCCGAAUGCUGCAGUACAAUAUUAAGUCGCUGCUUACUUACUCAGGAGCAGUUGAAGAGCACUGUCCAAAGGAUAAAGCAGUAGUCAACUUGAGGACCCGGCAAAAGGCUCAACACUUGAUCUUUAUAAAGCAGUGGAUCAUAUUUUUUCAAGCUUGGAUGAGUAGGUGUGUGAGCAGUCAUGGCUAUUGAUCUAUUAUAUUAGGUUCAUUCUUGUAAUGGCAUUAUACAUCACAGCUUGUUGAAUAAAUGAAAACUGAAUGGCUUCUUUCAACUUUC